GCGCCUGUAGCUCAGGGGAUAGAGCAGCGGUUUCCUAAACCGCAGGUCGAAGGUUCGAAUCCUUCCAGGCGCACCU
rnacentral:tRNA from 1 species